UACGGAGGGAGCUAGCGUUGUUCGGAAUUACUGGGCGUAAAGCGCACGUAGGCGGCUUUGCAAGUCAGAGGUGAAAGCCUGGAGCUCAACUCCAGAAUUGCCUUUGAGACUGCAUCGCUUGAACACGGGAGAGGUGAGUGGAAUUCCGAGUGUAGAGGUGAAAUUCGUAGAUAUUCGGAAGAACACCAGUGGCGAAGGCGGCUCACUGGACCGUUGUUGACGCUGAGGCGCGAAAGCCAGGGGAGCAAACGGG
rnacentral:rRNA from 1 species